rnacentral:tRNA from 1 species
GGGGAGUUUCCCGAGCGGUCAAAGGGGUCAGACUGUAAAUCUGAUGGCAUUGCCUUCGCAGGUUCGAAUCCUGCACUCCCCACUA